CCUACGGGAGGCAGCAGUGAGGAAUAUUGGUCAAUGGACGAGAGUCUGAACCAGCCAAGUAGCGUGAAGGAUGACUGCCCUAUGGGUUGUAAACUUCUUUUAUAUGGGAAUAAAAUGUUCCACGUGUGGGAUUUUGUAUGUACCAUAUGAAUAAGGAUCGGCUAACUCCGGGCCAGCAGCCGCGGUAAUACGGAGGAUCCGAGCGUUAUCCGGAUGUAUUGGGUUUAAAGGGAGCGUAGGUGGAUUGUUAAGUCAGUUGUGAAAGUUUGCGGCGCAACCGUAAAAUUGCAGUUGACACUGGCAGUCUUGAGUACAGUAGAGGUGGGCGGAAUUCGUGGGGUAGCGGUGAAAUGCUUAGAUAUCACGAAGAACUCCGAUUGCGAAGGCAGCUCACUGGACUGCAACUGACACUGAGGCUCGAAAGUGUGGGUAUCAAACAGGAUUAGAUACCCCGGUAGUC
rnacentral:rRNA from 1 species